rnacentral:tRNA from 1 species
ACGGGUGUAGCUCAAUUGGUAGAGCGACGGUCUCCAAAACCGUAGGCUGCGGGUUCGAUUCCUGCCACCCGUGCCA